AUUGAACGCUGGCGGCAUGCCUUACACAUGCAAGUCGAACGGCAGCGCGGGAGCAAUCCUGGCGGCGAGUGGCGAACGGGUGAGUAAUACAUCGGAACGUGCCCAAUCGUGGGGGAUAACGCAGCGAAAGCUGUGCUAAUACCGAAUACGAUCUACGGAUGAAAGCCGGGGAUCGCAAGACCUUGCGCGAAUGGAGCGGCCGAUGGCAGAUUAGGUAGUUGGUGAGGUAAAGGCUCACCAAGCCUUCGAUCUGUAGCUGGUCUGAGAGGACGACCAGCCACACUGGGACUGAGACACGGCCCAGACUCCUACGGGAGGCAGCAGUGGGGAAUUUUGGACAAUGGGCGAAAGCCUGAUCCAGCCAUGCCGCGUGCAGGAUGAAGGCCUUCGGGUUGUAAACUGCUUUUGUACGGAACGAAACGGUCUUUUCUAAUAAAGAAGGCUAAUGACGGUACCGUAAGAAUAAGCACCGGCUAACUACGUG
rnacentral:rRNA from 1 species